rnacentral:rRNA from 1 species
GAUGAACGCUGGCGGCGUGCCUAACACAUGCAAGUCGAGCGGCAGCAUACCCUUCGGGGUGAUGGCGAGCGGCGGACGGCUGAGUAACACGUGGGAAUGUACCCCAAAGUGAGGGAUAACCUCGAGAAAUCGAGGCUAAUACCGCAUGUGCUCUUCGGAGUAAAGCUUUAUGCGCUUUGGGAACAGCCUGCGCCUGAUUAGAUUGUUGGUGAGGUAAUGGCUCACCAAGUCGACGAUCGGUAGCUGGUCUGAGAGGAUGAUCAGCCAGACUGGAACUGAGACACGGUCCAGACUCCUACGGGAGGCAGCAGUGAGGAAUCUUCCACAAUGGGCGAAAGCCUGAUGGAGCAACGCCGCGUGCAGGAUGAAGGCCUUCGGGUUGUAAACUGCUUUUCUUUGAGAAGAAUAUGACUGUAACAAAGGAAUAAGGAACGGCUAACUACGUGCCAGCAGCCGCGGUAA